rnacentral:rRNA from 1 species
CCUACGGGAGGCAGCAGUGAGGAAUAUUGGUCAAUGGACAAGAGUCUGAACCAGCCAAGUAGCGUGAAGGAUGACUGCCCUAUGGGUUGUAAACUUCUUUUAUAUGGGAAUAAAACGUUCCACGUGUGGGAUUUUGUAUGUACCAUAUGAAUAAGGAUCGGCUAACUCCGUGCCAGCAGCCGCGGUAAUACGGAGGAUCCGAGCGUUAUCCGGAUUUAUUGGGUUUAAAGGGAGCGUAGGUGGAUUGUUAAGUCAGUUGUGAAAGUUUGCGGCUCAACCGUAAAAUUGCAGUUGAAACUGGCAGUCUUGAGUACAGUAGAGGUGGGCGGAAUUCGUGGUGUAGCGGUGAAAUGCUUAGAUAUCACGAAGAACUCCGAUUGCGAAGGCAGUUCACUGGACUGCAACUGACACUGAGGCUCGAAAGUGUGGGUAUCAAACAGGAUUAGAUACCCGAGUAGUC